rnacentral:lncRNA from 1 species
ACUGACAUAUGAAACCAGAUUGCCAAUUUAGUAACUACCUUCCUGAAUGAAGGAUGGGACCAGCACGACUAGCUAGAUCUCUCCCUGCUGGAAAACCAAAGAAGCAGCCAAGUCACUAUUGAAAGAUUGCUUGGUGAGCCGGAAAUGGGAAGUAGGAAACUUUGUUAAAUUAAAAAAAAAAAAAAAAAAUUAGCUGAGUGUGGUGGUGCCUGCCUGUAGUCCCGGCUACUUGGGAGCCUGAGGUGGGAAGACUGCUUGAGCCCAGGAGGUCAACGCUGCAGUGAAUGACCUGGAGGUUACCUUACAUGGUUCUGGGAACUCCUCACCCCUUUUCUAGAAAGUUCAUGAAU